rnacentral:rRNA from 1 species
GACGAACGCUUGCGGCGUGCCUAAGAAAUGCAAGUCGAGCGAGGUUUAGGCUUCGGCCGACGACCUAGCAGCGAACGGUCGCGUAACACGUAAGCAACCUGCCCUAAAGUUGGGGAUAGCCCGCCGAAAGGCGGAUUAAUACCGAAUGUGGAUAUGAUUUCGCAUGUGAUUAUAUCUGAAGCAGCGAUGCGCUUUAGGAUGGGCUUGCGGCCUAUCAGUUAGUUGGUGUGGGUAACGGCCUACCAAGACGACGACGGGUAGCCGGCCUGAGAGGGUGUCCGGCCACACUGGAACUGAGACACGGUCCAGACUCCUACGGGAGGCAGCAGUGGGGAAUUUUGGGCAAUGGGGGAGACCCUGACCCAGCGACGCCGCGUGAGGGACGAAGGCCCUUGGGUCGUAAACCUCUUUUGCAGGGGAAGAAGUAGAUGACGGUACCUUGCGAAUAAGUCCCGGCUAACUACGUG